UGCGCAGGCGGGGAUGUAAGUCAGUGGUGAAAUACUGCCGCUCAACGGUAGAACUGCCAUUGAUACUGCAUCGCUUGAGUAUGGUUGAGGUAGGCGGAAUGUGUUGUGUAGCGGUGAAAUGCAUAGAUAUGACACAGAACGCCAAUUGCGAAGGCAGCUUACUAAGCCAUUACUGACGCUGAGGCACGAAAGCGUGGGGAGCGAACAGGAUUAGAACCCUGGUAGUCC
rnacentral:rRNA from 1 species